CUUCCCUCGCUCCUCGGCGGCGGGGACCGAGAGAGGGAGCUGUGUCUGAGGAGACGCCAAAAUCCCCCUUAGCGGUGCCUGCGGGAGGGGGAGGGGGCACAAGAUGGCGGCGGCCGGGGGGCGGGAGUUCAGCUCAUGGAUCCCGGCGGGCGGCGGAGGGGAGACCGGGCCGGCGGAGGCGGCGGCGGCAACGGGCGGGGGAGGGGGCCGAUCCCGCGUCUCCCCUCAGCAGACAAUACAAGCGCCUCGGAGCGAGUCCCCGAACCUGCCCUAGCCAAAAUGGCGGCCGAGAAAGAGCGGAAGUGACGUCUGCUGUUGCUGGCACUUGACAUUCUUCCAACUCAGUCAUGGACUCUCCUCUUUGGCCUGAAGAAACAAGUGGAAUCCCCAGUGUUUUGAGGCCAGUGGACUGGUGAAGCCGAAGGAUGAAGUGAUGUCGCCAAUGGCCCUCCACAAGAUCCUUAAGAACACUUUGUAAUCCUAGGGCAAGUUCUAGUGCUCCCACAAUCUGGAUAGCAUGACAGCACAUGGACAGAGUGCUUGAAAACGUUAGGCCAGUCCCAACACUUAUCGUAGAGUGCAUCUGAGAGUGUAUCAUUGGUGAAAUGUAUUUAAAAGUAAUAAAAGCCAAUGGUUAAGGAUUAACCAAGGCUAGUUUUUCAA